CAAAGAGUCAUACAUUUCUCAAGCUAUUUUCAGCUCCUCUGCACCUACUCACUUGCAAUACUUGUCAUAACAGGAAGUCCGUUUUAUAUACUGUAAUCCCCAAACACGUUGUGCCUGCACGUGGGGAGCGUGAGGGGGCUGAGGGGGGAGUGAGGAAGCCAAGCCCCCCAGAAGGCCACCUGGCUGAGCACUGAACCCAUCCCAAUCUGGGCAUCCCUCCUCCCAGGCCCAGGUGUCAGAAACCAGGGUCCACAUCCAGACAUUGUUUUCCUUCCUCAUGCAGUUGGUGGUUCCUUUUUUUUUUUUAAAUAAAGCAUUUGAGUAGGCGGCAAAGCCAGUCAGAACUGUUUAUUUAUAGCUGUGGAUUUUCAAUGCUGUAUAAAUUAGAAAUCAUUGCUGAAUGAGGCCCGCGCCCACUCACACACGCAGGGCCGCUAUCUGUGAGUCCUUUUACACAGUUUGACUGUACACAGUCUAAAAUGGGAGAAAAUGACAUGCUCUGAGUCAAAUGACGGAGUCACAGCUAAACUGCAAAGCAGAAAACCAGCAAUUAUUUUUCCUCAGCACAAUAUGGGGAGGACGACAGGUGCAAUUAUCCAAUAUUAUUUAACAGCACCGGUUUGUGGUAUAGGGAGAAAAUAAAGGUUUCUGUGUCUUGGAGAGGAGAAAAAGAGAAAGAACCUGCCUCCCACCUCCUGUUUCUGUGGAUUAAGCUGUGUUAUGUAAAUUGAAACUGGCCAGGAUUCCAAAAAGGGAAGGGAGAACCACCUGGCUCCCUCGCUCUUCCUCCCUGGAAGCUGGCAACCUGCGUCAUCAGGGACUUCUGAGAAAAGGGCCCUCGCCUUGGGACCUUGAACAUCCUCCUCUGAGGCAGCGGCUUCAGUGGCAGGAAUGCAGAGAGUCGUUGAAGAUGUGCACAGACUUCUGGUUCAUUGCAGAGCCCUCCUGGAGAAAAACAAUAGGCCACGGUAAAAGAAAAUUGCCUAGGACCCUGACGGACUUCAGACAAAUUUGCUACUGCCACAGUGGAACACUCAGCUGUCAAUGAACCCUCUUUUCCACCUACAGAAUCCCUAGGCAGCAAACACCAUAAAUACAGAAGCUACAUCCUGACACGUG
rnacentral:lncRNA from 1 species